rnacentral:rRNA from 1 species
UACGCAGGCGGUCUAUUAAGUCGGAUGUGAAAGCCCGGGGCUCAACCCCGGAAUUGCGUUCGAAACUGGUGGACUUGAGUACGAGAGAGGGAAGCGGAAUUCCUGGUGUAGAGGUGAAAUUCGUAGAUAUCAGGAGGAACACCAGCGGCGAAAGCGGCUUCCUGGCUCGAUACUGACGCUCAUGUACGAAAGCGUGGGGAGCAAACA